rnacentral:lncRNA from 1 species
UGAUUAUGCAAGUAGGGUGCCUGCAUUAGUAUUCACGAAUAUGUUGCAUUGCAUUGUUAAUUGUUGGUGUGAGUAAAUGCUGAAUGAUCCAAUAGUCUCUGAGUUAAGACCAGGAGCCUUUGACUACGCCCUGGCAGGUAUAGUAAAGUCCAGGAGCCUUUGACUACGCCCUGGCAACGGUAAGUACAGAGGUGUUAUACACACAUAUACAUAUAUGACAGGAAGACCAGGUGCUCGAUUCUACGCCCUGGCACGGAAGUUACUGAGGC